AGACUAAACCCUGAUAGCAGACUACUCCGAUCCGGAUCCGUUUUACCUCCGGCAGAUCCGCGCUACAGUCAGGUCUGUUUAGUGGAUCUGGUCCGGCUUCACUCCGGGUUCGGGUUAUGAUUGUGACUCACGUUCAGAUCCGUUUUACUGACGGUAAAUCCGCAUAACAGUCCGUCUCAUUUCACGCCUUCAAUAUGACUUCGGCACGGAGUCAGAUACCAGAUGUGAGUUCAGUGUCAGCUCAGUGUCGUUUUGCGGAUCCGGGCCGCAUCGGCGGAGCGGCACAGGAGCGGGAGAAAUUCAAACUCAGCGCGAGGACCAACUGACAUCUGCUGAAUCUGCGCUUCAGGGCUGCUGAGGGCUGGGGACCUGAGAUAAGGUGUAAUCAUUUACCCAUCAAAUCACCUAACAAGGAUCAGCCUGGAUCCUAACAGUACUUGAUGCACUGAGCAGUGACAUUAUACAUAGAGUAGUUAAGCAGGAUUUGGUAUCCACAAAAUGGUUCGAGGUCCUCAGCCCUCGCCUCCCCAGCACAGAGGAAAACUACCAAGGGCGGUACUCUCAUUAUAGGAGAUUCAAUUGUUAGACAUUUAAAAGUAUCUAAGAGUAAUGGCACAAUUUCAUGUCUUCCAGAUGCUUGCAUGCUGGUAGUCGGCAAGCGGCUCCCUGGGGCGCAUUGCCAAAGCAGGAACCCCGGCACCAUCGCCCUCCACGUGGGGAUGAGCUUUCGGGAGCGACCGGCCCCGUUCCACAGAGACAGGCUUCUCUCUGUGAACAUCGAGGCGGUGCUACGCUGAGACUGACUGUCUCUACCCAGUCACACCAGCCAAGUAGGCUGCACUGUAGUGGUGUUAAGUGUCCAAGAAUGCUCUCAUCAGUGGAGGCACAGCUGGCUGCAAAAAACAUCUGUGUCUGCAUGUUUAUAUUAUGUGAAUUAAAAAUGGUUUUAUUAUUAAAAUAAUUGUAUUAAUGCCUGUUGAUUUAUAAAUUGUUUAAUUGAAAUCAAAUUUUAUUUAAGUAGCUUAAUUAAGUAUUGCAUUUAUAACUGAUGGUAUUUUAUUUAAUUAGCUUAAGUAUUGCAUUUAUAAGUGAUGGUAUUUUAUUUUAAUU